rnacentral:tRNA from 1 species
GCCUGGGUGGCUCAGUCAGUUAAGCGUCUGACUUCGGUUCAGGUCAUGAUCUCACGGCUUGUGGGUUCGAGCCCCGUGUCAGGCU